GGCUUCGAGCCCGUCGCGGCUGGGCCGGGCUGGUCUGGCAGGCGGGCCCAGCCGGGCAGGGCUGCUUUGCUAAUGGCGGCGGCUCUCUUUCCUUCCUUCCUCCUUUCCUCCGUCCCCCCGGUCGUGGGGAGCCCGGAGCAGGAGGCGGGCCCGCGGCCAGGUUCUGGGCCGGAGAAGGGGCGACGUUCGGGCACCCCCCGAAUGGACAAUCUUUCCUUCUGUCAACGGCAGGGGCAGGCCUAGUUUGACUCUGACAGUCCUCCCACUAAGGAAUUCCUGGUGACUGGAAGGGGGAGUGACUCAGGCCCUCAACCUCUAGCAGAGUGCCUUGGCUCCCUCCUGUCGUCCUGGGGAACCUCGGCCCCAGCCCUGCCUCCCCAGCCAGUCACAGCUCCUCCCUGGUCACCCUGAGGGAGCUCAGGGCCCGGCUGGUAGCUGGGUUGCUCUGCUUCUGUCCCCCACUCCUGUGGAGCCUGGCA
rnacentral:lncRNA from 10 species